GUGAGCUGUGCUGUGUGUUGUGAGUUCGGCUUUAACGAGUUACAAGUGAACGCCUCAUGACACAUGGCUUCCACCCACAUACCCGAUAAAUUAGACACUUUGAUGUUCUGCUCCUUCUCCUGACGGUCACGGUAACGAUGUCUGCGCCUCCGUUUCUGUGGAUGUCCAGCGUGAGACACAACUUGAAUCCAACCAGACUGAACACUGACUCCAGGGACGGACGAGCCUGAAGGACACAGCUGUGAUGACCAAUUGACCAUGUUUUGUCUCUUAUGGCAAAGCAGAAAUAUUAAACACUGGGUUCUUAUCUAAAGUGUAUCAAAUCAGAAAGCAAAAGAUACACAUUGUUGUUAUAAGUUUUUAUUAUUUUAACCAACCAUAAUGAAGAUAGAAAUGAAUUCUUAUCCAUGCCACUUAGCAAUGACUGCCACCACCAAACAGUUGCAGGCCAUCUUUAUUUAAGGGAGGAAUUUAGAAGUGUUGUGUAGCUUCUGAUGAUGAUGCAGUCGUCCACGUGUUGACCACCAUGUUGCUGCUGACGACGUCAGGUGCUGCAGUUCCUCAUCUAUGAAGAGAAGAAACGCACUGUUAAAGAAUGUUUUGAGUUGUGUAUGAAGCACAACAGAUUUCAGAUAGAACCGUUGUACUGUGGUCUGGGUUUGUAUCCUAAUGGUUAAAUGCACAUAUUUUAAGUCGCUUUUGAUAAAAGUACUGAAAGAAAUACAACAUUGUAAAAAUAGAUAAAAUGUCUUUCUACCUCAUCUGUAAUAUUCAAGGUGAUAAUCUCCCACAGAGCUAUUGAUAACAGUCCACAUCAAGUCUCUCCACUUCCCUCAGUGUGAAAACAUAAUUAUAUAAUUAAUUUGAGAACUGUUUACAACACUGAUGUGUGGAGAUUAAAAUCAUAUCUAAACUGUCUAAUUCACUGUCAAACUCCAUGACAUUCGCAGGCCAUCUGUAGUUAAGGGAGCAACGUAUGGAGUGAUGUGUAGAGGGCAGAAACUUGGACUAUGGGCAGAGAAGGUCUCUGGUUCGUCUCCGGUUCGACUCCACGGAGAGACAACACAAGACAAACCUGGAUUGAUCUGUCCAAAAAUCCAAGAGUCUCCCCACCCUCUCUAGUGCCCCUGAGCAAGGCACCUCACUCCCCCAACAUCUGCUCCGUGAGCGCCGUACAUGGUCGCUCACUGCUCUGUGUGUCCUGCACCAGAUGGGUAAAAAGCAGAGAUUAAAUUUCCCUACCUGCAUGAGUGUGCCUUUGCAUGUCUGUGCAUGUGUUUGGGACGAAUAAAUGGAUCUUAAUCUUAAUCUUUUAAUCUUAAUCAGUUGUCUUCCAGUUGACCAGCAUGAAGCUGCAAAUCUCCACCAUGUUGCUGCUGAGGACAUCAGGAGCUGCAUUAAUGAGGAGCAGAAGCGCACUGUUAUGAAUGUUUUGUGUUGUGUAUGAAGCACCACAUAUUUCAGAUAGAACCGAUGUACUGGGGUCUGGGUUUGUAUACUAAUGGUUAACUGCACAUACUUUAAAUCGCUUUUGAUAAAACGUGAGAAAGAAAUACAACAUUGUACACAUAGAUAAAAUGUCUUUCUACCUCAUCUGUAAUAUUCAAGGUGAUGAUCUCCCACAGAGCUGUUGAUAACAGUCCACAUCAAGUCUCCACUUCCCUCAGUGUGAAAACAUAAUUAUAUAAUUAACUGGAGAAGUGUUUACAACACUGAUGUGUGGACAUUAUAAUCUUAUCUAUACUGUCUAAUUGACUCUACAACUCCAUGACAGACUAAAUUAACGAUGUGAAAAUAGUAAUGGUGGAUAUAUCAGCCUGUAUCAGAAUAAUGGUGAAACAUAGUUAUUAUCACAUGCAACUUACACAUGUAGCGUAUUGAUAUUAACUUAUUAAAAUAAAACAAAGUCACAGCCAAA